rnacentral:rRNA from 1 species
UACGUAGGUGGCAAGCGUUGUCCGGAUUUACUGGGCGUAAAGAGCGCGCAGGCGGUCGUUCAAGUCGCGUGUGAAAGCCCCCGGCUCAACUGGGGAGGGUCACGCGAUACUGAUCGACUCGAAGGCAGGAGAGGGUAGUGGAAUUCCCGGUGUAGUGGUGAAAUGCGUAGAUAUCGGGAGGAACACCAAUGGCGAAGGCAGCUCGCUGGGACGUUACUGACGCUGAGGCGCGAAAGCGUGGGGAUCAAACAGG